rnacentral:rRNA from 1 species
UACAGAGGUGCCAAGCGUUAGGCGGAAUCACUGGGCUUAAAGCGCGUGUAGGUGGACGGGUAAGUACCUUGUGAAAUCCCACAGCUCAACUGUGGAACUGCUGGGUAUACUGCUUGUCUUGAGGCAUUCAGGGGCAACCGGAACAAAUGGUGGAGCGGUGAAAUGCGUAGAUAUCAUUUGGAACGCCUAUGGUGAAAACAGGUUGCUGGGGAUGUUCUGACACUGAGACGCGAAAGCCAGGGGAGCAAACGGG